AUUGAACGCUGGCGGCAUGCUUUACACAUGCAAGUCGAACGGUAACAGGCCUUCGGGUGCUGACGAGUGGCGAACGGGUGAGUAAUACAUCGGAACGUACCCCGAGGUGGUGGAUAACGCAGCGAAAGCUGUGCUAAUACCGCAUGUGAUCUGAGGAUGUAAGCGGGAGACCGCGCAGCAAUGUUUGGCCUCGCCUCUUUGGAGCGGCUGGUGUCGGAUUAGCUAGUUGGUGUGGUAAAGGCCUACCAAGGCGACGAUCCGUAGCUGAUCUGACAGGAUGAUCAGCCACACUGGGACUGAGACACGGCCCAGACUCCUACGGGAGGCAGCAGUAGGGAAUCUUGGACAAUGGGCGAAAGCCUGAUGGAGCAAUGCCGCGUGCGGGAAGAAGGCCUUCGGGUCGUAAACCGCUGUUAGCAGGGACGAAAAAGUGUCUGCGUAUAGAGGGCGCUCAUGACGGUACCUGCAGAAUAAGCCCCGGCUAACUACGUG
rnacentral:rRNA from 1 species